rnacentral:rRNA from 1 species
AUUGAACGCUGGCGGCAUGCCUUACACAUGCAAGUCGAACGGUAACAGGUCUUCGGAUGCUGACGAGUGGCGAACGGGUGAGUAAUACAUCGGAACGUGCCCGAUCGUGGGGGAUAACGGAGCGAAAGCUUUGCUAAUACCGCAUACGAUCUACGGAUGAAAGCAGGGGACCGCAAGGCCUUGCGCGGACGGAGCGGCCGAUGGCAGAUUAGGUAGUUGGUGGGAUAAAAGCUUACCAAGCCGACGAUCUGUAGCUGGUCUGAGAGGACGACCAGCCACACUGGGACUGAGACACGGCCCAGACUCCUACGGGAGGCAGCAGUGGGGAAUUUUGGACAAUGGGCGAAAGCCUGAUCCAGCAAUGCCGCGUGCAGGAUGAAGGCCUUCGGGUUGUAAACUGCUUUUGUACGGAGCGAAAAGGCUCUCUCUAAUACAGGGGGCUCAUGACGGUACCGUAAGAAUAAGCACCGGCUAACUACGUGCCAGCCGCCGCUGUAACAC